CCUACGGGAGGCUGCAGUAGGGAAUAUUGCUCAAUGGGGGAAACCCUGAAGCAGCAACGCCGCGUGGAGGAUGAAGGUUUUCGGAUUGUAAACUCCUUUUGUUAGAGAAGAUAAUGACGGUAUCUAACGAAUAAGCACCGGCUAACUCCGUGCCAGCAGCCGCGGUAAUACGGAGGGUGCAAGCGUUACUCGGAAUCACUGGGCGUAAGGAGCGCGUAGGCGGGAUAGCAAGUCAGAUGUGAAAUCCUAUGGCUUAACCAUAGAACUGCAUUUGAAACUGGUAUUCUAGAGUAUGGGAGAGGUAGGUAGAAUUCUUGGUGUAGGGGUAAAAUCCGUAGAGAUCAAGAGGAAUACUCAUUGCGAAGGCGACCUGCUAGAACAAAACUGACGCUGAUGCGCGAAAGCGUGGGGAGCAAACAGGAUUAGAUACCCUUGUAGUC
rnacentral:rRNA from 1 species